rnacentral:lncRNA from 1 species
GCGGCCGCAAAGGGCCUUACCUGCAGCAUCCGCGUUUGUCCUCUCCACGACCCCUGGAGGUGGAAGUCCAGCUCUACACUUUGCAGAAGAAGCUCCUAGGCGAUGUGGUUUGCCUCAGGUCACUCAUCCCGGGAAAUCAGGGGGCGGGGCUCCAGACCCACCGGUGUGCUCCCCAGGGCGGCGCUGCCCCCCUACCUAUGACAUCCAGUUCUUGACAGCUUCCAAUGAAAAGCCGCUUGGAAACGACCUCUACUCCCACCCGGACAUCUCCCCUGCCCGCUGGGGACUGUCGGCUCCAUCCCACUGUGUGAACACAACCACGCUGAGCCCUAAAUGCUGUUGAUACCUCCUGCUGAAGGUAGCCCUCGAGGCUGAAGAUGGCCAGCUCUACUGGAUGCUUACUCAGAUGAAGUGGCUGUUACUUAUUUAUGUUUAAUGUCUAUAAACAUUUGCCUGCAUGUGUGGGUGAGCACCAUACUCACACAAUGCCCUCAGAAGCCAGAAGAUGAAGUCACAUGCCCUGGAACUGGGUUUGCAGACUGUUGUGAGUGACAUGUAGGUGUUGGGAACUGAACCUGGGUCCUCUGCAGGAGCAGAACUAUACUGAUACUUGGACCUGUGAGAAUUU